UGGGGAAUAUUGCACAAUGGGCGCAAGCCUGAUGCAGCCAUGCCGCGUGUAUGAAGAAGGCCUUCGGGUUGUAAAGUACUUUCAGCGGGGAGGAAGGCGAUAAGGUUAAUAACCUUGUCGAUUGACGUUACCCGCAGAAGAAGCACCGGCUAACUCCGUGCCAGCAGCCGCGGAAAUACGGAGGGUGCAAGCGUUAAUCGGAAUUACUGGGCGUAAAGCGCACGCAGGCGGUCUGUCAAGUCGGAUGUGAAAUCCCCGGGCUCAACCUGGGAACUGCAUUCGAAACUGGCAGGCUAGAGUCUUGUAGAGGGGGGUAGAAUUCCAGGUGUAGCGGUGAAAUGCGUAGAGAUCUGGAGGAAUACCGGUGGCGAAGGCGGCCCCCUGGACAAAGACUGACGCUCAGGUGCGAAAGCGUGGGGAGCAAACA
rnacentral:rRNA from 1 species